CGUGCUUAACACAUGCAAGUCGAGCGGUAAGGCCUUUCGGGGUACACGAGCGGCGAACGGGUGAGUAACACGUGGGUGAUCUGCCCUGCACUCUGGGAUAAGCCUGGGAAACUGGGUCUAAUACUGGAUAUGACCUCAGCAUGCAUGUGCUGGGGUGGAAAGCUUUUGUGGUGCAGGAUGGGCCCGCGGCCUAUCAGCUUGUUGGUGGGGUAAUGGCCUACCAAGGCGACGACGGGUAGCCGACCUGAGAGGGUGACCGGCCACACUGGGACUGAGACACGGCCCAGACUCCUACGGGAGGCAGCAGUGGGGAAUAUUGCACAAUGGGCGGAAGCCUGAUGCAGCGACGCCGCGUGAGGGAUGAAGGCCUUCGGGUUGUAAACCUCUUUCAGCAGGGACGAAGCGUGAGUGACGGUACCUGCAGAAGAAGCACCGGCUAACUACGUGCCAGCAGCCGCGGUAAUACGUAGGGUGCGAGCGUUGUCCGGAAUUACUGGGCGUAAAGAGUUCGUAGGCGGUUUGUCGCGUCGUUUGUGAAAACCCGGGGCUCAACUUCGGGCUUGCAGGCGAUACGGGCAGACUUGAGUGUUUCAGGGGAGACUGGAAUUCCUGGUGUAGCGGUGAAAUGCGCAGAUAUCAGGAGGAACACCGGUGGCGAAGGCGGGUCUCUGGGAAACAACUGACGCUGAGGAACGAAAGCGUGGGUAGCAAACAGGAUUAGAUACCCUGGUAGUCCACGCCGUAAACGGUGGGCGCUAGGUGUG
rnacentral:rRNA from 1 species